AUGAGACCCGGGUGCAAAGGGACUGGCAGAGGAGGCGGGCCAGGGCGUGUGCGAGGGGAGAGAGCGUGUGCGGGGAGGCGGGCCAGGGCGUGUGCAGGGAGGCGGGCCAGGGCAUGUGCAGGGGAGAGAGCGUGUGCGGGGAGGCGGGCCAGGGCGUGUGCAGGGAGGCGGGCCAGGGCGUGUGCAGGGGAGAGAGCGUGUGCGGGGAGGCGGGCCAGGCCGUGUGCAGGGAGGCGGGCCAGGCCUGUGCAGGGAGGCGGGCCAGGCCUGUGCAGGGAGGCGGGCCAGGGCGUGUGCAGGGAGGCGGGCCAGGGCAUGUGCAGGGGAGAGAGCGUGUGCAGGGAGGCGGGCCAGGCCGUGUGCAGGGAGGCGGGCCAGGCCGUGUGCAGGGGAGAGAGCGUGUGCGGGGAGGCGGGCCAGGCCGUGUGCAGGGAGGCGGGCCAGGCCUGUGCAGGGAGGCGGGCCAGGGCGUGUGCAGGGAGGCGGGCCAGGCCUGUGCAGGGAGGCGGGCCAGGGCGUGUGCAGGGAGGCGGGCCAGGGCAUGUGCAGGGGAGAGAGCGUGUGCAGGGAGGCGGGCCAGGCCGUGUGCAGGGAGGCGGGCCAGGGCGUGUGCAGGGAAGCGGGCCAGGGUGUGUACAGGGGCGGCGAGGCAGGGCGUGUGCAGGGAGGCAGGCCAGGCCGUGUGCAGGGGAGAGAGCGUGUGCGGGGAGGCGGGCCAGGCCGUGUGCAGGGAGGCGGGCCAGGCCUGUGCAGGGAGGCGGGCCAGGGCGUGUGCAGGGAGGCGGGCCAGGCCGUGUGCAGGGGAGAGAGCGUGUGCGGGGAGGCGGGCCAGGGCGUGUGCAGGGAGGCGGGCCAGGCCGUGUGCAGGGGAGAGGGCGUGUGUGGGGAGGCGGGCCAGGCCGUGUGCAGCCGCCGCGUGUCUCGCUCUGCAGGAUGGAGAACCUGUUCAUCAACCGCUUCAUGCACAUGUUCCAGUCGUCCUGGAACGACUUCGCCGACUUUGAGAAAAUCUUUGUCAGGAUCAGCAACACUAUUUCCGAGCGGGUCAUGAAUCACUGGCAGGAAGACCUCAUGUUUGGCUACCAGUUCCUGAACGGCUGCAACCCUGUGAUGAUCCAGCGCUGUCUGAAGCUGCCAGACAAUCUGCCGGUGACCACAGAGAUGGUGGAGUGCAGCCUGGAGCGGCAGCUCACCCUGGAGCAGGAGGUCGAGCUCAACCAGGUGCCGGGAGAAGAGAAUCCCAUUUUCCUCCCUUCGGAUGCAAAGUAUGACUGGCUGCUGGCCAAGAUCUGGGUGCGCUCCAGCGACUUCCACGUCCACCAGACCAUCACCCACCUUCUGCGCACACAUCUGGUGUCUGAGGUGUUUGGCAUCGCCAUGUACCGCCAGCUGCCUGCCGUGCACCCCAUCUUCAAGCUCCUGGUGGCACACGUGCGGUUCACCAUCGCCAUCAACACCAAGGCCCGGGAGCAGCUCAUCUGUGAGUACGGCCUCUUUGACAAGGCCAACGCCACCGGGGGCGGCGGGCAUGUGCAGAUGGUGCAGAAGGCCAUGCAGGACCUGACCUACACUUCCCUGUGCUUCCCUGAGGCCAUCAAGGCCCGGGGCAUGGACAACGCGGAAGACGUCCCCUACUACUUCUACCGGGACGACGGGCUUCUGGUGUGGGAGGCCAUCAAGACGUUCGUGGCCGAGGUGGUGGACAUCUACUACGAGGGUGACCAGGUGGUGGAGGACGACCAGGAGCUGCAGGACUUCGUGAAGGACGUUUAUAUGUACGGCAUGCGGGGCAAGAAGGCCUCAGGCUUCCCCAAGUCCAUCAAGACCAAGGAGAAGCUGUGUGAGUACCUGACCGUGGUGAUCUUUACGGCCUCAGCCCAGCAUGCGGCGGUGAACUUCGGCCAGUAUGACUGGUGCUCCUGGAUCCCCAACGCGCCCCCGACCAUGCGGGCCCCGCCCCCAACGGCCAAGGGUGUGGCCACCAUCGAGCAGAUUGUGGACACGCUGCCCGACCGCGGCCGCUCCUGCUGGCAUCUGGGCGCGGUGUGGGCACUGAGCCAGUUCCAGGACAAUGAGCUGUUCCUGGGCAUGUACCCAGAGGAACAUUUCAUCGAGAAGCCCGUAAAGGAGGCCAUGGCCCGGUUCCGUAAGAACCUCGACUCCAUCGUCAGCGUGAUCGCCGAGCGCAACAAGAACAAGAAGCUGCCUUAUUACUACUUGUCCCCAGACCGGAUUCCCAAUAGCGUGGCCAUCUGA
rnacentral:lncRNA from 1 species